CCUACGGGUGGCAGCAGUGGGGAAUAUUGGGCAAUGGGCGCAAGCCUGACCCAGCAACGCCGCGUGAAGGAAGAAGGCUUUCGGGUUGUAAACUUCUUUUCUGAGGGACGAAGAUAGUGACGGUACCUCAGGAAUAAGCCACGGCUAACUACGUGCCAGCAGCCGCGGUAUUACGUAGGUGGCCAGCGUUAUCCGGAUUUAUUGGGUGUAAAGGGCGAGCAGGCGGGAAAGCAAGUCAGAUGUGAAAACUCAGGGCUCAACCCUGAGCCUGGAGUUGAAACUGUUUUUCUUGAGUGCUGGAGGGGCAAUCGGAAUUCCGGGUGUAGCGGUGAAAUGCGUAGAUAUACGGAGGAACACCAGUGGCGAAGGCGGAUUGCUGGACAGUAACUGACGCUGAGGCGCGAAAGCGUGGGGAGCAAACAGGAUUAGAUACCCGAGUAGUC
rnacentral:rRNA from 1 species